rnacentral:rRNA from 1 species
ACCCGCUGAACUUAAGCAUAUCAAUAAGCGGAGGAAAAGAAACUAACAAGGAUUCCCCUAGUAACUGCGAGUGAAGCGGGAAAAGCUCAAAUUUAAAAUCUGGCGGCCCCUGUGACCGUCCGAGUUGUAAUCUAGAGAAGCAUUAUCCGUGCUGGACCGUGUACAAGUCUCUUGGAAUAGAGCGUCAUAGAGGGUGAGAAUCCCGUCUUUGACACGGACUACCAGUGCUUUGUGAUGUGCUCUCGACGAGUCGAGUUGUUUGGGAAUGCAGCUCUAAAUGGGAGGUAAAUUUCUUCUAAAGCUAAAUACUGGCCAGAGACCGAUAGCGCACAAGUAGAGUGAUCGAAAGAUGAAAAGCACUUUGGAAAGAGAGUUAAAAAGCACGUGAAAUUGUUGAAAGGGAAGCGCUUGCAGCCAGACUUGCCUGUAGUUGCUCAUCCGGGUUUCUACCCGGUGCACUCUUCUAUAGGCAGGCCAGCAUCAGUUUGGGCGGUUGGAUAAAGGUCUCUGUCAUGUACCUCUCUUCGGGGAGAACUUAUAGGGGAGACGACAUGCAACCAGCCUGGACUGAGGUCCGCGCAUCUGCUAGGAUGCUGGCGUAAUGGCUGU